CAGGAUUAGAUACCCUGGUAGUCCACGCUGUAAACGAUGAGUGCUGAAUGUGGGGGUUUUUUACCUCUGUGUUGUAGCUAACGCGUUAAGCACUCCGCCUGGGGACUACGGUCGCAAGACUAAAACUCAAAGGAAUUGACGGGGACCCGCACAAGCGGUGGAGCAUGUGGUUUAAUUCGAUGCAACGCGAAAAACCUUACCACUCCUUGACAUGGAGAUUAUAUCCUUCUUAACGGAAGGGCGCAGUUCGGCUGGAUCUCGCACAGGUGCUGCAUGGCUGUCGUCAGCUCGUGUCGUGAGAUGUUAGGUUAAGUCCCGCAACGAGCGUAACCCUCAUCCUUAGUUGCCAGCGGGUUAAGCCGGGCACUUUAAGGAAACUGCCAGUGGUAAACUGGAGGAAGGUGGGGAUGAUGUCAAGUCAGCACGGCCCUUAUGGGGUGGGCUACACACGUGCUACAAUGGUGACUACAAUAGGUUGCAAUGUCGUAAGGCUGAGCUAAUCCGUAAAAGUCAUCUCAGUUCGGAUUGUCCUCUGCAACUCGAGGGCAUGAAGUCUGAAUCGCUAGUAAUCGUGGAUCAGCAUGCCACGGUGAAUACGUUCUCGGGUCUUGUACACACUGCCCGUCACGCCAUGGGAAUUGGCUUAACUC
rnacentral:rRNA from 1 species